rnacentral:rRNA from 1 species
UAGGGAAUCUUCGGCAAUGGACGGAAGUCUGACCGAGCAACGCCGCGUGAGUGAAGAAGGUUUUCGGAUCGUAAAGCUCUGUUGUAAGAGAAGAACGAGUGUGAGAGUGGAAAGUUCACACUGUGACGGUAUCUUACCAGAAAGGGAGGGGGGGAANAAAAUCCCCCCCCCCCCCGGGUAAACGUAGGUCCCGAGCGUUGUCCGGAUUUAUUGGGCGUAAAGCGAGCGCAGGCGGUUAGAUAAGUCUGAAGUUAAAGGCUGUGGCUUAACCAUAGUACGCUUUGGAAACUGUUUAACUUGAGUGCAAGAGGGGAGAGUGGAAUUCCAUGUGUAGCGGUGAAAUGCGUAGAUAUAUGGAGGAACACCGGUGGCGAAAGCGGCUCUCUGGCUUGUAACUGACGCUGAGGCUCGAAAGCGUGGGGAGCAAACAGGAUUAGAUACCCUGGUAGUCCACGCCGUAAACGAUGAGUGCUAGGUGUUAGACCCUUUCCGGGGUUUAGUGCCGCAGCUAACGCAUUAAGCACUCCGCCUGGGGAGUACGACCGCAAGGUUG